rnacentral:rRNA from 1 species
UACGUAGGGUGCGAGCGUUAACCGGAAUUACUGGGCGUAAAGCGCGCGUAGGCGGCGCGUUAAGGCAGGGGUGAAAGCCCCGAGCUUAACUUGGGAAUUGCGCUUGUGACUGGCGGGCUGGAGUGUGGCAGAGGGAGGUGGAAUUCCACGUGUAGCAGUGGAAUGCGUAGAGAUGUGGAGGAACACCGGUGGCGAAGGCGAAUCUCUGGACCUUACCUGACGCUCAGGCACGAAAGCUAGGGGAGCGAACAGG